rnacentral:rRNA from 1 species
CCUACGGGCGGCUGCAGUAGGGAAUAUUGGACAAUGGAGGCAACUCUGAUCCAGCCAUCCCGCGUGAAGGAUGAAGGUCCUCUGGAUUGUAAACUUCUUUUCUCUGGGAAUAAAAACUCCGAUUCACUCGGAGCUUGAAGGUACCAGAGGAAUAAGCACCGGCUAACUCCGUGCCAGCAGCCGCGGUAAUACGGAGGGUGCAAGCGUUAUCCGGAUUCACUGGGUUUAAAGGGUGCGUAGGUGGUCUUGUAAGUCAGUGGUGAAAUACCGCAGCU